rnacentral:rRNA from 1 species
CCUACGGGAGGCAGCAGUGAGGAAUAUUGGUCAAUGGACGCAAGUCUGAACCAGCCAAGCCGCGUGAAGGAUGACGGCACUAUGUGUCGUAAACCUCUUUUGUACGAGGGCAAACCCUGAUACGCGUACCCGGUUGAAUGUACCUUACGAAUAAGCAUCGGCUAACUCCGUGCCAGCAGCCGCGGUAAUACGGAGGAUCCGAGCGUUAUCCGGAUUUAUUGGGUUUAAAGGGUGCGUAGGCGGUUUGAUAAGUUAGAGGUGAAAUGUCGGGGCUCAACCCCGAAACUGCCUCUAAUACUGUUGGACUAGAGAAUAGUAGAGGUAGGCGGAAUGUAUGGUGUAGCGGUGAAAUGCUUAGAGAUCAUACAGAACACCGAUUGCGAAGGCAGAUUACCAAACUAUAACUGACGUUGAGGCACGAAAGCGUGGGUAGCAAACAGGAUUAGAUACCCCUGUAGUC